GACGAACGCUGGCGGCGUGCUUAACACAUGCAAGUCGAACGGAAAGGCCUCUUUCGGGGGGUACUCGAGUGGCGAACGGGUGAGUAACACGUGAGUAACCUGCCCUUGACUUUGGGAUAACUUCAGGAAACUGGGGCUAAUACCGGAUAGGAGCUCCUGCUGCAUGGUGGGGGUUGGAAAGUUUCGGCGGUUGGGGAUGGACUCGCGGCUUAUCAGCUUGUUGGUGGGGUAGUGGCUUACCAAGGCUUUGACGGGUAGCCGGCCUGAGAGGGUGACCGGCCGCAUUGGGACUGAGAUACGGCCCAGACUCCUACGGGAGGCAGAAGUGGGGAAUAUUGCACAAUGGGUGGAAGCCUGAUGCAGCAACGCCGUGUGCGGGAUGACGGCCUUCGGGUUGUAAACCGCUUUCGCUCAUGACGAAGCUUUGUGUGACGGUAGUGGGUAAAGAAGCACCGGCUAACUACGUG
rnacentral:rRNA from 1 species